UUUACUCAACUUAUACAUGCAAGUCUCCGCACCCCUGUGAGAACACCCUUACACUCCUAGUUGGAAUAAGGAGCUGGUAUCAGGCACAACAACUAGCCCAAGACACCUAGCUACGCCACACCCACAAGGGAACUCAGCAGUAAUUAACAUUGAAUAUAAGCGCCAGCUUGAUUCAGUUAGAGUAAAAAGGGCAGGCAAAUAUGGUGCCAGCCGCCGCGGUUACACCAUGUGGCCCAAGCUGACUUCUUCCGGCGUAAAGAGUGAUUAAAGUAACAUGCUACUGUAGUUAAACUAGAAUAAAGUUGUGAUAAGCUUAUAUCUAGGAAACCCAAAAACGAAAGUUACUACACCCACAACAACUUGAACUCACAACAGCUAAGAAACAAACUAGGAUUAGAUACCCUACUAUGCUUAGCCACAAACUUUUAAUUACACCCGCAACGCCAGGGAACUACGAGCAAAGCUUAAAACCCAAAGGACUUGACGGUGCCCCAUAUCCCCCUAGAGGAGCCUGUCCUAUAAUCGAUAACCCCCGUUAAACCUCACCACUUUUAGCCAAAUCAGUCUGUAUACCUCCGUCGUCAACUUACC
rnacentral:rRNA from 1 species